CAUACAAUCGAACCGAUUUUACAAGAGGCGGAUAACUGCGACAGUGGCCCGCGGAUACCGCAAAUCGCCAUGUGCGUGGUGCAUAAAAACCCGUCGAUUAUGAUAGAUCGUGACAACAUGCAAUACCUGUGACAGCUGCACAGACUAUACUCCGCGCCACGAGAGAAGUAAACCUUGUUCCGACCGAAACGCGUUCAAUUCUGCGCAUCCCCAUGUACUUGCUGGCACAAAGUGGAGGGAAACGGGGCCUCGUGCCGUUGGUUGGCAUGCGCGAAACGGUUUACUUCUCUCGUAGCGCGGAG